CAUGCAAGUCGAACGGAAAGGCCCUGCUUGCAGGGUACUCGAGUGGCGAACGGGUGAGUAACACGUGGGUGAUCUGCCCUGCACUUCGGGAUAAGCCUGGGAAACUGGGUCUAAUACCGGAUAGGAGCCAUUUUUAGUGUGAUGGUUGGAAAGUUUUUCGGUGUAGGAUGAGCUCGCGGCCUAUCAGCUUGUUGGUGGGGUAAUGGCCUACCAAGGCGGCGACGGGUAGCCGGCCUGAGAGGGUGGACGGCCACAUUGGGACUGAGAUACGGCCCAGACUCCUACGGGAGGCAGCAGUGGGGAAUAUUGCACAAUGGGCGCAAGCCUGAUGCAGCGACGCCGCGUGGGGGAUGACGGCCUUCGGGUUGUAAACUCCUUUCGCUAGGGACGAAGCUUUUUGUGMYGG
rnacentral:rRNA from 1 species